UACGUAGGCAGCAAGCGUUGUUCGGAGUUACUGGGCGUAAAGGGUGUGUAGGCGGUUCUUUAAGUUUGCUGUGAAAUCUCCCGGCUUAACCGGGAGGGUGCGGUGAAUACUGAGGGACUAGAGUACGGGAGAGGAAAGUGGAAUUCCCGGUGUAGCGGUGAAAUGCGCAGAUAUCGGGAAGAACACCCGUGGCGAAGGCGGCUCUCUGGGACGGUACUGACGCUGAGACGCGAAAGCGUGGGGAGCGAACAGG
rnacentral:rRNA from 1 species